GGUCCUGUAGCUCAAUGGUAGAGCAUCCGGCUCUUAACCGGGUGGUUGGAGGUUCGAGCCCUCCCAGGAUCACAA
rnacentral:tRNA from 3 species